CCGCCUCCGCCGCCAUAACCACCACCACCACCAUAUCCACCACUGGAUCGGAUGCCCUGAACUGGGUUUCCACCAGGAGCAGUGACAUUAGCAGCCUUGGUACGGCCAUCGUCAGAGCUUUCAAUCUCAAACUCAACCUCUUCGCCGUCUCCAAGGCUGCGAUACCCUUCAGAUUUGAUGGAAGAUUGGUGAACAAAUAGAUCAUCACCGCCAUCAUCAGGGGUUAUGAAACCAAACCCCUUUUGGUCACUAAAC
rnacentral:lncRNA from 1 species